rnacentral:rRNA from 1 species
CUUGGUCAUUUAUAGGAAGUAAAAGUCGUAACAAGGUUUCCGUAGGUGAACCUGCGGAAGGAUCAUUAAAGAGUAAGGGUGCUCAGCGCCCGACCUCCAACCCUUUGUUGUUAAAACUACCUUGUUGCUUUGGCGGGACCGCUCGGUCUCGAGCCGCUGGGGAUUCGUCCCAGGCGAGUGCCCGCCAGAGUUAAACCAAACUCUUGUUAUUAAACCGGUCGUCUGAGUUAAAAUUUUGAAUAAAUCAAAACUUUCAACAACGGAUCUCUUGGUUCUCGCAUCGAUGAAGAACGCAGCGAAAUGCGAUAAGUAAUGUGAAUUGCAGAAUUCAGUGAAUCAUCCAAUCUUUGAACGCACAUUGCGCCCCUUGGUAUUCCGAGGGGCAUGCCUGUUUGAGUGUCAUGAAAACCCUCAACCCUAGAUUGGUUAAAACCUUUCUUUGGUUUGGAUUUGGACGUUUGCCGAUGAUAAGUCGGCUCGUCUUAAAAGUAAUAGCUGGAUCUGUCUCGCGACAUGGUUUGACUUGACGUAAUAAGUAUUUCGCUAAGGACAUCUUCGGAUGGCCGCGUUGCAAGACAAAAGACCGCUUUCUAAUCCAUUGAUCUUCGGAUUAAUAUUCUUGACAUCUGGCCUCAAAUCAUGUAGGACUACCCGCUGAACUUAAGCAUAUCAAUAAGCGGAGGA